rnacentral:tRNA from 1 species
GUAUGUAUAGCUCAGUGGUAGAGUGAAUGCCUAGCAUGCAUGAGGUCCUGGGUUCAAUAUCCAGAACUUCCA